CAGGUGUCUAUUAAAUAAAUAAAAAAUAUAUGUGCGAAAUUCGAGGGUACCACCUUAACAUUUCUAAAGAACUUGAGUGACUAUGGCGAUUAAAGAAAUUAUAAAAUGGUGAUUAUUGUCAUAAACAGUUCAGUGAAAAUUUAAGAUGACAUCUCUCGGAAUACCCACUGAGGCUCCGGUCCAUACCAUCCUAUUCACGUCUGCGUAUACGCAGAAGACUGUUAAGAUUAUUAAAAAAAAG
rnacentral:misc_RNA from 1 species